rnacentral:rRNA from 1 species
AGGGCAAGUCGGUGCCAGCAGCCGCGGUAAUUCCAGCUCCAAUAGCGUAUAUUAAAGUUGUUGCAGUUAAAAAGCUCGUAGUUGAAUUUCGAGACCGGUCUACUGGUCGUGCUUUUGUACGUACUGGUUUUAUUGGUUUCUCCUUUCUGACGAACUAUAAUGCCAUUAAUUUGGUGUUAUAGGGAAUCAGGACUGUUACUUUGAAAAAUUAGAGUGUUUAAAGCAGGCUCACGCUUGAAUACAUUAGCAUGGAAUAACGGAAUAGGACGUUUGAUUUUAUUUUAGUUGGUUUCUAGGGAUCGACGUAAUGAUUAAUAGGGAUAGUUGGGGGGCAUUAGUAUUCAAUUGUCAGAGGUGAAAUUCUUGGAUUUAUUGAAGGCUAACUACUGCGAAAGCAUUUGCCAAGGAUGUUUUCAUUAAUCAAGAACGAAAGUUAGGGGAUCGAAGACGAUCAGAUACCGUCGUAGUCUUAACCAUAAACUAUGCCGACUAGGGAUCGGAUGAUGUUAAUUUUUUAAUGACUCAUUCGGCGCCUUACG